rnacentral:tRNA from 1 species
GGAGGAUUCGCCUAGUUGGCCUAUGGCGCACGCUUGGAAUGCGUGUUGGGGGCAACCCCUCGCGAGUUCGAAUCUCGCAUCCUCCG